rnacentral:rRNA from 1 species
UACGUAGGUGGCAAGCGUUGUCCGGAUUCAUUGGGUUUAAAGGGUGCGUAGGCGGCCUUGUAAGUCAGUGGUGAAAUACUCCAGCUUAACUGGAGGGGUGCCAAUGAUACUGCAGGGCUUGAGUACAGAUGAGGUAGGCGGAAUUGACGGUGUAGCGGUGAAAUGCAUAGAUAUCGUCAAGAACACCGAUAGCGAAGGCAGCUUACUGGGCUGUAACUGACGCUGAGGCACGAAAGUGUGGGGAUCAAACAGG